rnacentral:snoRNA from 1 species
CUUAUAUGAUGAUCGUAUUAUUUCAGUUCUGCUACUGAAUCUCUUUGAAGAAAAUUUAUACCGCUUACCUUUGUCUGAUAU